rnacentral:rRNA from 1 species
UACGGGGGGGGUAAGCGUUGUUCGGAAUUACUGGGCGUAAAGGGCUCGUAGGCGGCCAACUAAGUCAGACGUGAAAUCCCUCAGCUUAACUGGGGAACUGCGUCUGAUACUGGAUGGCUUGGAUCCGGGAGAGGGAUGCGGAAUUCCAGGUGUAGCGGUGAAAUGCGUAGAUAUUCGGAGGAACACCAGUGGCGAAGGCGGCUCACUGGUCCAUUACUGACGCUGAGGUGCGAAAGCGUGGGGAGCAAACAGG